rnacentral:lncRNA from 1 species
UUAUACGCAAAAAUCACCAUGAAGACCCGGCCCAUAAAAGAAGACUAUGAUGGGCUCAAGAGUGGACCAAGCCCAAGCUAGCCAUGUCAGUUAGAAGAGACCACUUCAAGAAGAUUGCGCGCCUUAUCUUCAGGGCGCGUCAAGUUGAAGCUUACAGAGAAAGAUCGUCAUUUGAAGGGCAGAAGGGGACAUAUUUUACCUAGGGGGACGCCCUUGGGUGUGUAUAGAUCCUACUGUUGAUUUGUCGAAGACUCUACCUUGUAGUCUGAGGAGUUGCCCUCCUUGGGAGAUAGAGAAUGAAGAUUAGAGGAGGCCUUGCUCUGUAGUCUGGCGAGUUGUCCUUGUCGGGGAGCUUGUGGAACCUUCUCGAAGAUACACCCUGGAAGGCUCUAUCUCUGUAGUCUGGCGGGUUGUCCCUGUCGGGGAGUAGAGAAGCGUCCUUGCAUUUGGGGUAAGUCUUGGGUGCUCGAGAGUCUACAAGGCCCAAGACUAGGCCUCAUCGUAUUGGGCCCCUUUCAGGAGGAAGAUAGCAGAAGGGGAAGCCUAAUCCUAUUAGGUUUAGGUUUCCUAAGGAGAAAAGAACUACGUACUGGCUUGAUCCCCUAUAAAUAUAGGGGUACGUAGGCAAAUUAGGGGGACACGAGUUGGGAGCAUCUGGAGGCAACUCGAAACCCUAAUCUCAGCCACCCCUAAAAUUUCAUCACCGCCGCUUAGCCACCAUCAUAGAUCUUGAUUCCGGCCACGAACCUCAAAUUUUGUUAACUACCAAAUUCCUCCGUUAACAAAUUGGCGCUAGAAGGAGGGGCUGUUUCUAGAUUCAUCUGCGGAGGACAGAUGACGUGGCGUUAAAAUUUAUACACAUGAUUGGCUGCAGAUGGGGAAUAUUACCGUCACAGCUUUGUUUCGCGGUACAUAUAUCCAUGAAGUUAUGAUAUCGGACACUGGAAUGCAUAUCAUCACGCAAUAAGUCGGCCUGUCGCAGAGCAACUUAAGCCGUAAGCCACCACAUGUUUCCGAUACGACCGAAAAAAAGAUAAGUUUCCGUUUUCAAUUAUUAAACUUAUUUAUUUACAAUUGUUUUGUGAAAUAUACGUGGAAUAUAUUCAUCGUUGUUAAUGUGUAUAUUUUAUGGAAGGACAUGUUUAUUAUGUUUGAUUGAGUUGUUAUAUAAUUUAUUAUUUAUUAUUUACGCGUGCUUAACGUCCUAAGUUUUUUUGAUAUCAGUCACGAUAUAUGUGUUUUGUAAUAGCAGGAUGACCAAAGGCUGUUACUAGUACAUGAGUCUAGUAUGUGCACGGUCGUCACCGAGGUCUCCAGCCAAGCGCCGACUUGUAAACGGAAAAGACACGGACAAGCGGAAUGAUUCUCUACGCAUGGUAAAGGAAACCAACUCCAGCGCAACAGCAGAACAAAUUCAGACCCGAACAACUUUCAAAGAAAAAAGGAGAUAAGAUUUUCUUUAUUUAAUUUAUAUUUAUGUACUUAGAUUUAUUACGCGGAUUGAAUAUAUUAUGGCAUGCAUUAUCGUAUUUUAUAAGAUUGUGCACCGAUUCGGCAAUUAAACCAUUAAGACCUCUUACUGUAAAUUUUACCAAUCAUCAUUCAUAUAUAUUAUUAUAUAAUAAUGUUUUGAAAAGUUAGGUUAAUACCUCUGUGGACCAGUGAAUUUAAAAGAGGACAAGGUUGAAAUAGGGAAACAUCAUGGCAAUUUGCUCCUGGUGCAAAAGGCUUAACAGGAAAGGAACUGGGGGGUACAUGAAGGAUGCUGACUCAACUCUGCAAACUAAAGAUAAGUUGUCUUUUUUGUUCAAUUUUAAUAUUUUAGCAAUUAUUCAGAUAUAUAUAUAUAUAUAUAUAUAUAUAUAUAUAUAUAUAUUAUGCAUAUAAAUCUUUUUGUGCUUCGUUUAUUUUUAUAUUAAUAUUUUUCAAUAUUCGAUUAUUCUAAGAUUUUAUGUAGCACACACUUCUUUUCAGGUUGUUAGACUUAUUAUUGCUCAUAAGUUAUUGCGUGUUUUAUAAAAUAUUGUGCGAGACUAUAUUACUUUAAUAUAUUUUUGAAUGAAUGUGAUUAACUUGAUUUCUAAGCAGGAAAGUCGAUGGAGUUUCUGUUUUUUAUUUAUAUCCUGAAUAAAGGAAAAGUAACAACGUUACUGUCAUGAGUCGGCACUGUUUAAGUUAUUGUGCAGGUAAUAAAAAGGUGGAAGCACUGAAUUAGUAAAAGAAAAUUUGCUUGUGGAUAUGGUCCUGAACACCAGAAACAUGCGGAAGCAAACUAAGCUAUUAAGGAAAAGGAAAAUUAAAGUCAGAUCGUUCACAAUUUGAAUCGGUCAACUUGCUGGAAAUAAUAAAGAUAAGUUUUCUUUUUCUUUUAUUAGUUUAUAAUAUUCUAUAAAUAUUAAUUUGCCAAAAAAAAUAUUUACUAUGAUUUAGUGUGAGCGUUAAUGUUUAUAUGCUGCUAACUUACUCUUGGUCGGGAAAAUUUAUCCUAAACUGUGCAUAUUUGAAAAGCCAGAUUAAUUUACGUGUGAGACCAAUUAAUUUAAAAGAAUAUAGAGCCUGAAAUAUGAUUGCAAGGCCAAAUUGUCCCUCAUGCUAACGGCGGAGUAACAGAAGAUUAUAGGGACCGUGGCAGAAAAAUGUAAACGUGAUGAAGCGACAUCGUGUGGUAGAUAAAAAUAUCUUCGUCGGAAGGAUAGCCAGCUAACAAAGAUAAGUUUCUGUUUUAUUUCUUUCAUUUUAUCCAUUAUUCUGUUUGCAAUGUCAUAUAUUUCUGUCAUGCAUUAUUAUUAAUCAUUUUAUGCUGAGAUAUAUAAAUUUUGAAUUUUAGUACUUAGCAUAUUAAAUAUUUGUUAUCGAAUAUGAAUUAGGUCUUACAUAUAUUCUGCAUAUUGUGAAUAUUGGUAUAUUUGACAUCUAUGAUUAUUAUAGUUAAGAUAUAUUGUGUCUAUGCAUUUAUUCUCUAAUAUUUUUAUUUUUAUUUAUUUUUUUUUUUAUAACUUGCUCUUAGCAUAAAAACGUAGGUUUCUUAACAUAAAUUGCUUCGAGGUAUUAUCUAAUAUUUAUGAUGUCAAUAUUUCAAAUUAAUUAUUUUGCAGGGAAGAAUUUUCUAAGUGAACGUGUUUUCAAGUAUUAUUUAAUAUUUUAAUAUACUUGCUGAUUGAAAGUUUUGUAGGAUGUAGAUAAUGCGCAAGGAAAAGGACUAGAAUAUUUACAAGAUGUGUCUUCCCCUAACAAAGUUCUUUGAGAUUUUCGAGAAGCACGCCUCCCCCUGACAAGGCGCGCCCCAAGGUAAAUAUUCUUUUUGAUGUUUGUAUAUGAUUUGUUGUGGACUGUAUCCCUUGCAGGAAAGAUGUAUGGUAGAAGGCGCGCUUCAUCUUCAUCUAAGACGCGGUAGAAUUGUAGAAGGCACGCUCGUCUCCUUCCGCCUCGGCUUCCGCGGCCUCUCCUUCAUCCUUGGCUUCCGCGGCCUCAUCUCUCCUUCAUCCUCGGCUUCCGCGGCCUCAUCUCUCCUUCAUCCUCGGCUUCCGCGGCCUCAUCUUCAUCAACUCAGUCUUGGCUUCCGCGGCCUCUCCAUCAGCCUCGGCUUCCGCAGCCUCAUCUUCAUCAACUCUGUCUUGGCUUCCGCGGCCUCUCCAUCAGCCUCGGCUUCCGCGGCCUCAUCUUCAUCAACUCAGCCUCGGCUUCCGCGGCCUCUUCCUCAGCAACUUCGUCAUUGUCCCUAUCAAGCAAACACUGCCUUCACCUCCGUUAGGCAGAAUCAUCGUCAUCUUCAAACAACUUCUUCAACAUCGGCUUCAGAGAAAAUUUCUUGAACAUAUGGCGCGCCUAGUUAAAGAACGUCAACAUCUUCUGCAUCAACAAAGAACAACCAAGAUAGGACAUCUCAGGGGAUGAAGGACAUCAAGAUCUCGUCGACAUCUUCAAUGCCACCAAGAUCUGGGGGGUAGUUGUUAUACGCAAAAAUCACCAUGAAGACCCGGCCCAUAAAAGAAGACUAUGAUGGGCUCAAGAGUGGACCAAGCCCAAGCUAGCCAUGUCAGUUAGAAGAGACCACUUCAAGAAGAUUGCGCGCCUUAUCUUCAGGGCGCGUCAAGUUGAAGCUUACAGAGAAAGAUCGUCAUUUGAAGGGCAGAAGGGGACAUAUUUUACCUAGGGGGACGCCCUUGGGUGUGUAUAGAUCCUACUGUUGAUUUGUCGAAGACUCUACCUUGUAGUCUGAGGAGUUGCCCUCCUUGGGAGAUAGAGAAUGAAGAUUAGAGGAGGCCUUGCUCUGUAGUCUGGCGAGUUGUCCUUGUCGGGGAGCUUGUGGAACCUUCUCGAAGAUACACCCUGGAAGGCUCUAUCUCUGUAGUCUGGCGGGUUGUCCCUGUCGGGGAGUAGAGAAGCGUCCUUGCAUUUGGGGUAAGUCUUGGGUGCUCGAGAGUCUACAAGACCCAAGACUAGGCCUCAUCGUAUUGGGCCCCUUUCAGGAGGAAGAUAGCAGAAGGGGAAGCCUAAUCCUAUUAGGUUUAGGUUUCCUAAGGAGAAAAGAACUACGUACUGGCUUGAUCCCCUAUAAAUAUAGGGGUACGUAGGCAAGUUAGGGGGACACGAGUUGGGAGCACCUGGAGGCAACUCGAAACCCUAAUCUCAGCCACCCCUAAAAUUUCAUCACCACCGCUUAGCCACCAUCAUAGAUCUUGAUUCCGGCCACGAACCUCAAAUUUUGUUAACUACCAAAUUCCUCCGUUAACA